CACUUGUGCCGGGUUGAUAAAAUGUACAUGUGUAUCAAUUCCCCCGGCUGUUACAAUCAUUCCUUCACCUGCAAUGAUUUCAGUGGAAGUACCGAUGAUAAUAUCCACACCAUCCAUGAUCAAUGGGUUACCGGCUUUUCCGAUACCAGAAAUCUUUCCAUCACGAAUUGCAAGAUCGGCCUUGUAAAUUCCGGUAUAAUCUAAAAUCACCGCAUUCGUAAUCACCACAUCCGGAAUACCUUCUCCUCUGGUGACCAGAGGAUGCUGACCCAUUCCGUCUCUG
rnacentral:sRNA from 1 species